rnacentral:sRNA from 2 species
GCGCAGCGAGAAAGCGUUGCCGUAGGCAACGACCCGAAGGGCGAAGCGCGCAGCGCUGAGUAAUCCUUCCCCCGUCAUCC